rnacentral:rRNA from 1 species
AACGAACGCUGGCGGCAGGCUUAACACAUGCGAGUCGAGCGAGACCUUCGGGUCUAGCGGCGGACGGGUGAGUAACGCGUGGGAACGUGCCCUUCUCUACGGAAUAGCCCCGGGAAACUGGGAGUAAUACCGUAUACGCCCUUUGGGGGAAAGAUUUAUCGGAGAAGGAUCGGCCCGCGUUGGAUUAGGUAGUUGGUGGGGUAAUGGCCCACCAAGCCGACGAUGCAUAGCUGGUUUGAGAGGAUGAUCAGCCACACUGGGACUGAGACACGGCCCAGACUCCUACGGGAGGCAGCAGUGGGGAAUCUUAGACAAUGGGGGCAACCCUGAUCUAGCCAUGCCGCGUGAGUGAUGAAGGCCUUAGGGUUGUAAAGCUCUUUCAGCUGGGAAGAUAAUGACGGUACCAGCAGAAGAAGCCCCGGCUAACUCCGUG